GUCUCUGUGGCGCAAUUAGUUAGCGCGUUCGGCUGUUAACCGAGAGGUUGCUGGUUCAAGCCCAGCCAGGGACG
rfam:Ciona savignyi cont_27701, whole genome shotgun sequence.